UGUGAUUGCAGAAUUCCGCGAAUCAUCGAGUCUUUGAACGCAAGUUGCGCCCGAGGCUUGUCCGAGGGCAUUUCCGCUAGAGCGUCACC
rnacentral:rRNA from 2 species